rnacentral:snRNA from 1 species
GUACUCGCUUUGGCAGUGCAUAUAUGAACAUUGGAAUGAAGUAGAGAAGAUUAGCAUGGUCUGUGUGCAAGGAUGGAAAGACAAAAAAAGGUGUGUAAGUUUAU